AGGACCUGGCACUUGGGCUGGGGUGCUGAUGCACUCGCUCGGGGUCUGGAGCAGCUGAGGGCGCUGCUGCCGGUUCCAGCGCUAGAAGUGAUGGCAGAAAUAGAACUGGAGUUCCGUCCAGCU
rnacentral:pre_miRNA from 1 species